rnacentral:rRNA from 1 species
UACGUAGGUGGCAAGCGUUGUCCGGAUUUACUGGGCGUAAAGAGCGCGCAGGCGGUCGUUCAAGUCGCGUGUGAAAGCCCCCGGCUCAACUGGGGAGGGUCACGCGAUACUGAUCGACUCGAAGGCAGGAGAGGGUAGUGGAAUUCCCGGUGUAGUGGUGAAAUGCGUAGAGAUCAGGAGGAACACCGAUGGCGAAGGCAGGUCUCUGGGCCACUACUGACGCUGAGAAGCGAAAGCAUGGGGAGCGAACAGG